GACUCUCGACAACGGAUAUCUCGGCUCUCGCAUCGAUGAAGAACGCAGCAAAAUGCGAUACUUGGUGUGAAUUGCAGAAUCCCGUGAAUCAUCGAGUUUUUGAACGCAAGUUGCGCCCGAAGCCU
rnacentral:rRNA from 1 species